GCCAGCUCCAAGGAACUUUCAUCACAAACAACGUGCUUGGAACCCGGGAACAAAACGCACUGAUGUUUACGGUGGUUAGAGAAGAAAGGUUUCCUAUGAAUGCGUUCUAGGCUGGAUUAUAGUUCUUAAAAUUCCUAAUAUAGCUGUUGUCUGUCUAAAAGAAACCGAAGACGGCUGCAGAAGAAGUCCGACAGUGAGCAUUGUGCGGCUAUGUGUCCGACUGACCGACGCCUAACAUAAGUUUCUGUGGAGCUCCCGUUUUCUAGAAAUGUCCUGCUGGGUUUCCAAAAGACAGCUGAGGUCUACAAUGUCAGGAUCUACUGAACCAUCACAACUACUCAUGUCAGUGAAGAAUAUAAAAGAAGAAUCUGAUCAUUUCCUUCAAGAGUAUUUGUUUGAAAUUCAGACAGUGGAAGAAAAGCCUGAACUGGAACAUGACUGUAAGACUGAGACGCACACAUCACCAACCUUGACCUGCAAAGAAGAAAAUUCUUCUCUGAUGGAAAUUAAAGAGGAAGAAGAAUCUGAUCAUUUCCUACAAGAGUAUUUGUUUGAAAUUCAGACAGUGGAAGAAAAGCCUGAACUGGAACAUGACUGUAAGACUGAGACGCACACAUCACCAACCUUGACCUGCAAAGAAGAAAAUUUUUCUCUGAUGGAAAUUAAAGAGGAACCAGAUUUAAGAGGAUGUGGUGAUGACGAUUCUUCUACAAAAAUCGAAGAUGAAGAAGUUGAUUCAAGAGAAUUUGGUGACUUUGACUCUUCACCAACAA
ensembl:lncRNA